UGAAAAAAGUAUUAGGUACUCAAUGGAAACUGCUAGGACUAAAUCUUUUAAUUUCCUGGAUUAAACUAGAUAACAUUGACAAUGAAGCAUCCUUUCCUGAUGUCAUUGCUAAGAAAGAAGAAGUAAUUCAACUGUGGAUGUCACAAGAACCCACCUGGAUAGUGUUGGUAGACGCUCUCAGUCAACCUUCAAUUGGAUUGUCCCAGAAAGCAAGUCAAACCUCAAGAGAACACAAUGUGCCUCUACAAGAGAAAAUCCUCUGCGAAAACAAUUCAUCCCUCCGUCCUGACGAGGACUUUCUCCAAUCAUUUGCUGCUAUUAUUGGCUCUCGAUGGCAGUGUCUUGCUUCUCCCCUCUCCCUCACUUCUAAAGUCAUUGAGAGCAUCAAGAGAGAGACAACCAGACAAGCACUUGUGAUGCUACAGAAGUGGGCAGCCAGGGAGACGGCAAAUUAUGGUCAGUUGAGAGAGAAACUCUGUACACUCCGUACACUCUCAGUGUUUCAUAUCUGAGAAAAGUUAGUUCAUUUAUCACAGCAGAAAUUUUAGCUAUAUACAUUCCAUAUUCAUGCAAUUGCGGCCUUUUAAAGCUAAUGGACGUAGCUAUACGUUAUCAAUGCACCUAUAUAGCUUUUUACCAAAAUAUAUCACCAUUAAUUAUUGUUUUGUGUCACUUAACUUUCAGGAUUAUGCUUUGCCAUUCAUGUUAUUACAUUUAAGCAACAAUAAUGCUACACUGCACUUUUAAUUUGCAUACUGCCCUGCAAAUGCAAUGCACCAUGCCAACUUCAUCAAAUCGCACUUUCGCACCCUACAAAUCGCAUAAUUUUGUUAGCCUACUAGUUUCUUUUAUUGUCAAUUCUUACUGUCAAUGCUUCCCCCAAGUAACUUUGGUACAGUAACUGCACAGCUAUAUAGGUAUAGCGAUGUACAAACGUUCUGUACAGCUCCAACAUUGAUGAUUUGCAAAGUGUUGCUCUUGCUCUGUCGUAAACAAGGAACCUCUAAUCAGAGUUUGAUUCGUUAGCAGUAGUUGAAGAGGUUUGAUGAGGGCGAUCCUCUCCAACUCAAUACAGUUGCCACUAUUUUCAGUUAUUGAGUGGUUGAAUAAGAUUUGUAAGUGCGAACUAAGUACCUCUAAUCAGACAUAAGGAACUUACUUAGAAUUAUCAUCCCCUAUCGAACUUUCCACGGAGACAAGCUCUCUUUCAUGGGAUUGUUGAAAUACGUUCCAGCUUGCAAAGUAAGCGCUUCCUUAUCUCUCACAUAGAAAUUACACUGCUGUCCGAAAAGAGUUACAUCAACAUUUAUUAAUGCUAAAGCAGACCUCAACAAACUCAUCGAUCAACUUAAGCUCAGUGUAGGCAUUAUUCCAGAAUCACUAUACUGGAAAGAGUGCUACCAGAGUACAUCACAAAGGAAAGUCUACUUAAGCUGCAUUACUGUCAAGAAAUUGAGAAUGUGUACGUGUAUGCAAGAGGACUAUUUUCUUUCUCAACUCACUUUGGGGCCAGUACGAACAGAAAGUGCCACUAACGAAAAUAUUUUCCCUGUUCUAUAACUAUGAUCUCAAGCUCGAGGAAAUUCAAUGUCCUAAAUCCGUAAAAUUACUUUGGGAUGGUAUGCUAAAUGUGAUGGUGACAGAUUAGACUUCUUCCCAACACUAUUUAUUUAUGUGCUUAUCGUUCAUCUCUCACAAAUUUGCUGCAUUAAAACGAAGCAUGCCAACAAGUCCGCUACAGCUUCCGAUUUUUUGUUUGUGGAUGUAUACAGUAACACUGCCAAUCCUCGCUGUUAUGUCUGGUCAACUGGUCGAUCUUGCAUUGGCUUAUGAAAAACGGAGUCAAGGUAUUAUUUUGUCGAUAUAUGCUCAAAGAUGCUAAUAGUAAAGAACUGAUUGUAUUAAAGGAUCGAGUGAUAUCCGAAAUGAAGUAGAGUGUUCCAAAACUCUGUAUCUAUUUAUUCAAAGGUAUAAUUGAAGCAAAAAUGGAGUUCUAUGCUGGCUGUACCUUCUUGAUCUGAGCAAUAUCUUCUGCAAUAUCUUAAAAAAAAAUGCAGAUGCAUCAUAUAGAUCUCAUUGAUAAAACAUUAGCAGAAGGCACUGAGCGAGUCAUGGAUAAAGAAGGACGAUGCUUCUCCUCUCCGAUAAAAGAUUGGAUCAGCCCAACAAGACGGACCAUAUCUUACUGGAAUUUGUUAAUCUUCCUUGGCGAAAUUGCUAAGAAAAGAGUAUUUUGACCGUGGUUCUCAGAAACUCUCCUGGAAAAUGUUGGUUGCUGCUCUCAGUCAACCUUCAAUUAGAUUGUCCCAGAAAGAAAAGCAAGUCUCACAAGAACACAACGUAACUCUACAAGAGAAAUCCUCGAAGGCAAUUCAUUUGUCUGUCCUGGCAAGGACUUUGUCCAAUCGUUUGCUGCCAUCAUUGGCUCUCGAUGGCAGUGUCUUGCUUCUCCCCUCUCCCUCACUUCUGAAGACAUUGUGAGCAUCAAGAGAGAGACAAGAGGAGCAGAGCCGACCAAACAAGCACUCGUCAUACUGCAGAAGUGCAUGGGAAACCAGACAGACGGAAACUUAUGAUCAGUUCAUAUAUCUGAGAACUUUAGUAUCAGGACAAGUAAAUGUACCUAGCUGUAGCUACGUUCAAUUGCACCUGUAUAACUAUUGUUAUACGUCACCAUGUUUGUGUCUUAGAACUUCAGAAUUUAUAUGGUAUUACCUUGUCAAUUAAAUUAUAAUUAUUUUCAAUACACCAUGCAUGAUGCAUAGCUAUUUAUAUACCGCAAUUAUUUAUAGUAUCAUUUGGUUACCUCAAUUCUUAUCAGUAAUUGUUUCC